AGAGUUUGAUCCUGGCUCAGGACGAACGCUGGCGGCGUGCCUAACACAUGCAAGUCGAGCGAUGAAACCCUUCGGGGUGGAUUAGCGGCGGACGGGUGAGUAACACGUGGGUAACCUGCCUCAAAGAGGGGGAUAGCCUCCCGAAAGGGAGAUUAAUACCGCAUAACAUUAGUUUUUCGCAUGAAGAACUAAUUAAAGGAGUAAUCCGCUUUGAGAUGGACCCGCGGCGCAUUAGCUAGUUGGUGAGGUAAAGGCUCACCAAGGCGACGAUGCGUAGCCGACCUGAGAGGGUGAUCGGCCACAUUGGAACUGAGACACGGUCCAGACUCCUACGGGAGGCAGCAGUGGGGAAUAUUGCACAAUGGGCGAAAGCCUGAUGCAGCAACGCCGCGUGAGUGAUGAAGGCCUUCGGGUUGUAAAGCUCUGUCUUUUGGGACGAUAAUGACGGUACCAAAGGAGGAAGCCACGGCUAACUACGUGCCAGCAGCCGCGGUAAUACGUAGGUGGCAAGCGUUGUCCGGAAUUAUUGGGCGUAAAGGGCGCGUAGGCGGCUUUUUAAGUCAGAUGUGAAAACCCCGGGCUUAACCUGGGAACUGCAUCUGAUACUGGGGAGCUAGAGUGCAGGAGAGGUAAGUGGAAUUCCUAGUGUAGCGGUGAAAUGCGUAGAUAUUAGGAGGAACACCAGUGGCGAAGGCGACUUACUGGACUGUAACUGACGCUGAGGCGCGAAAGCGUGGGGAGCAAACAGGAUUAGAUACCCUGGUAGUCCACGCUGUAAACGAUGGAUACUAGGUGUGGGA
rnacentral:rRNA from 1 species